rnacentral:lncRNA from 1 species
GUCAAAAUCUGAAGAGGAAUUAAAACCUCCACUUAACCUUCAGCAUCAUCACUCCUCUUCUCAGAACUUGAUCAAGGUGUUAUUCACAGAGUGAAUAAAGGAGCCUUGAAUUUCCACUGAUUUUUACAAGAGAAGAAUGGAGAAUUCCAGAGAUGCUAGCAUACAAAAAAUUGCUCCUGAACAUGGCAGAAGUCACCAGAACAAACUCCCAAGGGAAAAGAGAGGAGUAUCAGAUGAGAGAGACUCUAAGGGGGAUCUCAUUUGAUCUCUUUCUGCCAGAUUCUUUAUACGAAUGGUGCCUAGCAUAUAGUCAAAUUCUGACACAAGGUGUGGCAUCAUACAUUCUCCUCUUGCAAUGAAGUUUUACUUUUUGGGAACAGCUGUGUGGAAUAAGUAAAUUCAUUGAGAUAUAGAAAUCUUCAUAGUGAUGGAGAAAUGUGGUAAGCUAAUUUCUUGAAUACCAGGCAUUGUUCUUCUUUUUUCGGUCUUCUCCGUAUGAAAACUUUGUGGGUUUUUUGUUUGUUUGUUUGUUUUUAAGACAGAGUUUUGCUCUUGUUGCCCAGGCUGGAGUGCAAUGGAGUGAUCUCGGCUCACUGCAACCUCCACCUAUCAACCACCACUGCAACCUCAUCUAUAGUGAUUCCCCUAUCUCAGCCUCCCCAGUAGCUGGGAUUACAGGUACAUGCCAUCACACCCGGCUAAUUUUUGUAUUUUUGGUAGAGACAGGGUUUCACCAUGUUGGCCAGGCUGGUCUCGAACUCCUGACCUCAGGUGAUCCGCCUACCUCAGCCU